UCCCUGGUGGUCUGGUGGCUAGGACUCUGCACUCCCAAUACAGGAGGCAUGGGUUCGAUCCCUGGCCAGGGAA
rnacentral:tRNA from 1 species